rnacentral:rRNA from 1 species
GCAUUUACAGGCAGAUGGUGGAUGCCUAGGGACGUCAAGGCGAAGAAGGACGCGGCGUAGCGGCGAAAUGCCUCGGGGAGGUGCGUAGCAACCUAUGAUCCGGGGAUAUCCGAAUGGGGAAACCCGUUUUGGUGAAAGCCAAAACAGUCCUGUCGUAAGAUGGGAUAGCACACCUGGGGAAGUGAAACAUCUCAGUACCCAGAGGAAAAGAGAACAAACGUUUAUUCCCGUAGUAGCGGCGAGCGAAAAGGGAAGAGCCUAAACCGCGUAAAAGACGCUUGCGUCUUUACGCGGGGUUAUAAGGAGAUAGUGUCGGAGUUUUACCUCAAGUUUUGUUUUCCACUUUGGGGUAGCACUGCCGAGGGAGUCAAUUAAAUAAGUGGUUGGUUAGAAGAAUUCUCUGGAAAGGGAAGCCAAAGAGGGUAAUAGCCCCGUAUUCGAAAACUACAUUUAUACUCCUUGCUAUUUUUCUUGAGUACCUCGAGGAACGAAAGCUUCGAGGGAAAUUUCCCGGACUGCCGGGAAAGGCUAAAUACUUGACGUCACCGAUAGUGAACUAGUACCGUGAGGGAAAGGUGAAAAGCAGCCCGGUGAGGGCGGUGAAAUAGUACCUGAAACCAUCCUGCCUACAACAAGUCGGAGGAACGUAACGCGCAAGCGUGUACGUUCUGACGGCUUACUUUUUGCAGAACGAGCCAACGAGUCUCUUUCAUCAGUUUGCCUAAGCGCUUCUGGCGUGGAGGCAUAGGGAAACCGAGUCUGAAUAGGGCGUCUCCUGGCAUAGCCAGGAGGAAUUGGUGGAGGAGGACCCGAAGCCAAGCGAGCUUGCCAUGGUCAGGGUGAACUCCGUAGAGAUACGGGGGGAGGCCCGAACCCGUGAGUUGUUCAAUCCUCUGGGAUGAACUGUGGCAAGAAGUGAAAAGCUAAUCGAGCUUGGUGAUAGCUGGUUCUCCCCGAAAUAGCUUUAGGGCUAGCGUCCAUUGAUCCUUUCUGGAGGUAGAGCACUGGAAGAGGUGUCCUGGAGCAAUCCAGAUACCCCUACCAAACUCCGAAUGCCGGAAAGUGAAGAUGGGCAGUAAGAACGCGGGCGCUAAGGUCCGCGCUCAAGAGGGAAACAGCCCAGAUCUUCGUCUAAGGUCCCUAAAUUAAGCUAAGUGCAAAACGAGGAGGUGGAAUUCCGAAGAUAGCUAGGAGGUUUGCUCAGAAGCAGCCAUCCUUUAAAAAGUGCGUAACAGCUUACUAGCUAAGGAAUUCCGCGCCGCAGAUUUAUCGGGGCUCAAGCUUAAUACCGAAGACAAGAAUCCUGUGCCAUAUGGUACAGGGUUGUAGGGGAGCGUCUUUAUCGCAGCGAAGCCCAAGCGUGAGCGCGGGUGGAGCGAUAAGGAGUGAGACUGUUGGCAUGAGUAACCACAAUCCCGAUGAGAGCUCGGGACACCGAAAACCUAAGGUUUCCUUGGCACCGAUAUUCGACCAAGGGUUAGGCGGUCCUUAGCCGUGCCCCGAAAGGGGCAGGUGAUGGAUAGCCGGUUAAUAUUCCGGCCCCUUGCCAUAUGAUUCUAUUGAGCGACGAAGAGUAGUAACUUGGGCAGAUUAUUGGAUUUUUGUCCCGAGUGAGCACUCUUCCCGGAAAAGCUUGAUGGAGCUAAGUAUGGUGAGUCCGUACCGCAAACCGACACAGGUAGGUUGGCGCAAAUAUGCUAAGGUGAACGGAUGAAAGCUCGUGAAGGAACUAGGCAAAAAAGUGGUCGUAAGUUCGCGAUAUGACCUGCCCGCGAUGCCGCAAGGCAUUUUGCGGGCCGCAGCGACUGUUUCCCUGGCGACUGUUUAUCAAAAACACAGGUCCCUGCUUAACUCGUAAGAGGAUGUAUAGGGGCUGACGCCUGACCAGUGCUGGAGUGUUAAAGGUGCCGGUUUCUGCCGCAAGGUGGAUGCUGAGUGCCCGAAGCCCCAGUGAACGUCCGCGGUAACUAUAACCGUGUUAAAGUAGCGUAAUCCCUUGCCUGGUAAGUUCAGGCCCGCAUGAAUGGCGUAACGACUUGGGAACUGUCUCCACGAGCUGUCCGGUGAAAAUACAAUGCCGGUGAAGAUGCCGGUUACCUGCGGCUAGACGGAAAGACCCCGGGAGCUUUACUGUAGCUUCCUAUUGUUUUAUCAUCUGGGAUGCGUAGCGUAGCGGGGAGGCUUUGAAGUCCCUCUUUCGGGAGGGAUGGAGCCGACAAUGAAACACCCGUCUUCCACAGAAGAUAGAACUAACCCCGAGAGGGGGACAGUGGGAGGUGGUCAGUUUAAGUGGGGCGCUUGCCUCCUAAAAAGUAACGGAGGCGUUUAUAAGGUCGGCUAUCCGCCGAUGGAAAUGGCGGAGGUCGUGUAAAGGCACAAGCCGGCUUGACUGCGAGACGGAUAUGUCGAGCAGGUGGGAAACCAGAACUUAGUGAACCGACCCGUUUUUACAGAAAACGGGAAGAUCAUCAACCAAAAGUUACCCCGGGGAUAACAGGCUGGUAGGGCCCGCGAGUCCAUAUCUACGGCCCUGUUCGGCACCUCGAUGUCGGCUCAUCACAUCCUGGCGGUGGAGAAGCUGCCAAGGGUCUGACUGUUCGUCAGUUAAAGUGGUACGUGAGCUGGGUUCAAACCGUCGUGAGACAGGUUGGUCCCUAUCUACCGUAGGCGUCGAGUCUUGAGGGGAGUCAUCUCUAGUACGAGAGGACCGAGAUGAGUUAACCUCUGGUCUACCAGUUGUCCUGCCAAGGGCAGCGCUGGGUAGCUAAGUUAGUAAGAGAUAAACGCUGAAAGCAUCUAAGCGUGAAGCUCGCCCCAAGAUGAGGACUCAAAAACCCCUCCGAGACCAGGAGGUUGAUAGGCUCUAGGUGUAAGUCCCGUAAGGGAUUGAGCCGAGGAGUACUAAUGG